rnacentral:misc_RNA from 1 species
CGCACAUUGCGCCCUUUGGUAUUCCAAAGGGCAUGCCUGUUCGAGCGUCAUUUGUACCUUCAAGCUUUGCUUGGUGUUGGGCGUUUUUGUCUCUCGUUCUCGGGAGACUCGCCUUAAAACGAUUGGCAGCCGGCCUACUGGUUUCGGAGCGCAGCACAUAUUUUGCGCUUUGUAUCAGGAGAAAAGGACGGUAAUCCAUCAAGACUACAUUUUUUAACUUUUGACCUCGGAUCAGGUAGGGAUACCCGCUGAACUUAA